ensembl:snRNA U6 U6 spliceosomal RNA
GUGCUUGGUUUGUCAGCACAUACACUAAAAUUGGAACAAUACACAGAAGAUUAGAAUGGCCCCUCCACAAUGAUGAAUAUCAAAUUUGAAAAGCUUUCCACAUUUUU